rnacentral:rRNA from 1 species
UACGUAGGUGGCAAGCGUUGUCCGGAAUUAUUGGGCGUAAAGCGCGCGCAGGCGGUCCUUUAAGUCUGAUGUGAAAGCCCACGGCUCAACCGUGGAGGGUCAUUGGAAACUGGGGGACUUGAGUGCAGAAGAGGAGAGCGGAAUUCCACGUGUAGCGGUGAAAUGCGUAGAGAUGUGGAGGAACACCAGUGGCGAAGGCGGCUUUCUGGUCUGUAACUGACGCUGAGGCGCGAAAGCGUGGGGAGCAAACAGG